CUUCUUCUUCUUCUCCCUUUGAUCUUUUAGUAUCAUUUAAUUUCUUCAAAAGAAAAAAGAAAAGCCAUGGGUGUGAUUGUUGACGAGCAAGUACUGACAUGCUCCAUUCCACCAGCUAGGUUUUUCAAAGCAUUCAUUGUUGAUUCACACAAUCUGAUUCCUAAGAUUUUGCCUACCGUUUUCAAAAGCAUCGAAUACACAGGGGGCCACGGCGGACCUGGAUCCAUCAAGGUGCUUCAUUUCUACGACGGUACGUAACACAAUUAAUAUUCUAUAUAUAGUAAUAUAUAAUUUGAUUAAUUGGUUUAUGGUGAAAUUAAUAUAUAUAUAUAGGAGAUGAAGUGAAGAGCAUGAAGCACAAAGUGGAGGAAUUGGACGAGGCAAAUCUUGUGUACAAGUUCAGCAUAAUCGAAGGUGAGAAUAUGGGGACGGAUUUCGAGGCGGUGUCGAUCGUGAGCAAGGUGGAAGCAGGGCCUGACGGAGGAUGCACCUUUAGAUCGAUCAACACUUAUACUACCAAAGGAGAUAAUGAGAAUGUGAUCCAAGCAAGUAUCAAGAAAGCUAAGGAUGGUCUUGCUGGUUUCUUCCAGGCGGUGGUCGGACAUCUGCAUGCCAACCCCGAUGCAUACAACUGAAAACUAAACAUGCAUCAUAUAUGAUGGCCUUUUCAAAAAUAAUACUUUUGUGUUUGUGUGUGUGAGAUUAAUUUCCAAAUAAAUUUGAUUUCCUUUUCACGUUGUGUGACCAAUUGUUCAAGAGUUGCUAAGUUGUACUUCUAUCUUUCUUUCAAUGAUCAUCAAUAAAUCGUUUUGUUUGAAUUAAUAGUCCUCUCUCACACACACAGGGGUGAAUAGAUCAAACAAAAAUAAAACUACUAGAUUCACUUCACCACCUAAAUGAUUAUCAUUUUCAAUUUUUAUAUAAUGAGUAUUUCGAUUAAUAAGCGUUGAAGUAAAAAGCCAGACGAAUAAAAUGAUGAGUACUAUUUUUAAUAUUUCACAAGCAUCAACGAUUCCUUUAGUGAACAGAGUCCAACCCACUCAAUCUGUUCGGUUCUGGCCGAAUUAGAAGGUAAGUUUAGAAGCUAUGUAAUUGAUUUUUCAAACAACUCAAUAAUUAAACCGAAUUAAAUUUAAUUUACAAUAUUGAUAUAGACAUGGUAAUCUGAUUAAGAAAUGUGGCACCGAACGAGAUUGUUUGUCAUUAUGACGUAGAUAAUUUUAUAAUUAUAUAUACAGUCAAAAUAUGCGGAGAUUAUCUAAGUAUUGAAUUGGAUAAUGAUAAAAUUAUUUGUCAAGUAUUGAAAUAACUUAAUAAUGAUAAAAUAAUACUAUCUCGUAAUCGUAGAUAUUAGUUUUUGCUCUAAGCGCAUGAGCUUUUUGUAUUAGAAAAAAAAAUACAGUUGAGGUCGAUUUUGCUAAUUUCUAUAGCUCAUUACCUUUCUCAUUAAACAAAGAAUCAAACAAAUAAUUGAGUUCGAGUUGCUUAGCUUCACGAUUGGUUUCUAUUUCAGACAAACCCGUUUGUUGAUAUUUAUUAAUAGUAGUAUUAUAUAUAUCAAUACUAUUACAAUUAUACCUGAAACGAUGAAAUGAUAAUAAAAUCCAUCACGUAUUCGUCAAUAGGCCAUAUUAUAUCAAGACAUAUUACAAUUAUGCUUGAAAUGAUGAAACAAUAAUAAAAUUCAUCACGCAUUCGUCAAUAAGGUCUAGUUCAACUGGUAAAACUAAGACAUUUAAAUACUUUAUUUUGUGAAAAGUCUCGAGUUCAAUUCCACCUACCUACAAGUAGUUUUCUCACAUUUGUGUGUGGAAUAGUGAUUUAUUUUCCCACCUUUCAUAUAGUGUAGAGGUCCCGCCGGCAUACAGAUGACUUAGUUUUUUCACCUUUAUGUGGUGUAGUGGUUCUGACUGCGUGUAAUUAUUUGUUUACCUGUGUGGUGUGGAGGUCCCGUCUGCGUGCGUAUGAUUUAUUUGAUUAUAUUUAGACACAAAUGAUUUAUUUGAUUAUAUUUAGAUACAAAUCUCGCCUACAUGUGGGUGGUUUAUUUGAUUAUAUUUAGAUACUGAUUUACGGAAAUAAUACUCUUUUAAGGGCCUUUGAAGAAGAAUUUUCUUAACUCUUUUAUUAUUUUGAAUUAUACAUGAUACGCGUGUCAGCCACAAAAUUACUGUAAAUUUUAAUGUAUUCCUAUUCUACAUCCUCCAUUGUUAGGGAUGUCAAUCGGGUAUGACGGGCACGGAUAUAGUGGCUACUCAUAUCCGUCGCAAACUAAAUGGAUGAUGAAUUUUAACCAUGAAGCUAUCCGUAAUAUAAAUUAAUACUGCCUAAACUACCGCCUAAACCCGCCACCCGUCGGGUAUUCGCCAACUCGUUACCUGUCGGAUAUACCCGCCCAAGUUUAUUUUCAAACGAAAAGUAUGAAUCUAUUUUAUUAAAUCAUUGAUAUGGUCCCGACCCAAAUUUCUUCGCAAAAAGCAAUCUAUUCAGUUAGUCUCAUGCAUCCAAACUUAAUCAGCUGUUAGGACUUUAGAAAGUGUUUGGGCCUUUUGCAGAAAGGGUAUGGUGGCCCAUAUCUGAUAUGUCAUAUACAAAGCCCAUGUUUUUAAGGGUAUUUUGUGUAUAUUUCACGGGUACUUUUACAGAUAUUUUGCGGGUAUUUUUCGCAGUAAACGAGUUUCGUGGGUAUGGAUAGUAAAUGACUGCAAACUAACUGAAAAGUGAAUUUUAACCACGAAGUUAUCUGUGGAUAUCAAAUGUCCCUCAAACCCGUACCUAUUAAAGUUGGAUACUUGCAUAUAUUCGUUACCCGCGGGUAAAUUGCCAUCUCUAUCCAUUGUUAAUUUGUGUAAUAUUAUCCAUUACAUACUUAAAUGACUGCAUCAUCAAAUUAAUUCAUAACACACUUAAAUGAAAAACAUGUGGCAAUCCUAAAAGGUUAGGAUUGCCCAAGGUAUAUUUUUCAUUAUAAAAACUUUAAAUUCUACACUUUGAAUAUUAUCACAUGUCAAUCUUUCAUAAUUCAAAUAAAAAUAUCAUACAAAUUAGCAAUAGAUGCUCUGAAUUGAUAUAUUCAUACCUUUUUUAAACAAUAUAUUCAUAUUUCUUUUAAUAUAAAUUAAUAGUAUUAAAUAAAGAAAUGUAAAGACUUCGCCAUGAUAUAUUGAUAUUCAACCCAAAACCUCUGACCUUGAAUAUAAACCACCUAUACUGUCAGGCACCACACAACACGUAAGUUUUACAUGACAAUGUUGGCAAUAUAUAGUACUAUAAAAUAUGUGUACAAAUAACUGAUGCAUUUUGUUUUUCUUUCUUUUUUCGAGGGGAAGAAAGAAUUUCAUUAGUUCAAUCCGUCGAACAAUUUGGUACAAUGAGAUUUUCUUAAAUCAGAUUCAAUCUCCUGCAGCAAAACGAGCGAGCUAUAAAUCACUACUACAAAAGUUUACAUACAUAAUAGUGAAUAGAUAACGGUUUUUUUCAAAAACCGUUAUGUAUGAGCGCACUUUUAGGAAUAGAUAACGGUUUUGCGAAAAUCCGUUAUCUAUGUACUGUUGUCUAAAUGCAUAGAUAACGGUUUGAACAAAUGCGUUAUGUUUUUGCGUUAUCUAUAAGUUGCAUACAUAACGGUAUUACAAAACCGUUGUGCCACCGUUAUUUAUGACCAUCUUUUAUAACAGUAAUUUACAACGGUUUUUGAACCGUUAUGUAUAAGAGUCAUUUACAACGAUUUUUGAACCGUUAUGUAUGAGCGUCUCUAAAAACUGUUAUGUAUUAAUUUUUUUAUUAAUUUUUUUAAAAUAAUUUUCUACAUUCUUAUAUUAUAUUAAAAAAUAACAAAUAAAUUAUUUAUCCUAAAAUUUGAAUUUAUUCCUAGAUAUAGACUUUGAAAAAUAAAAAUUCAUAACAUUUUUUUUAUUUUUAUCAACACUUAUAUAAAAUGUAAAUUAAAAAUCUAAAUUAGAAAUCUAAAUACCAAAAAUUGAAUAUUAAAAGUGAAAAAAGAAAAAAAGAAAAAAUUUAAGGAAAUUUAGAAAUUAAACCCCCCCCCCAAACCUAGAAGCCCUAGUUUUGUUCGUCCUCUCCUCCCUGUCUCUCUCGACUCUCUCUCUCCCCUCUCGACUCCGCUGCCGGCGCCGCUCGCCCCCGAGCCAGCCCCGUCGCCCGCCCCACCCUUGUCGCGCUGCGUCGCGCCGCUGCCCGCCCCACCCUCGCUGCGUCUCAUCUCCUCCCCAAUCUCUCUCUCUCUCCGCGACUCUCCCUCUUUGAGAGAUAGUCGCCGCCGCUGCCGAGGCAACGUUCCCGCCAUAGANNNNNNNNNNNNNNNNNNNNNNNNNNNNNNNNNNNNNNNNNNNNNNNNNNNNNNNNNNNNNNNNNNNNNNNNNNNNNNNNNNNNNNNNNNNNNNNNNNNNNNNNNNNNNNNNNNNNNNNNNNNNNNNNNNNNNNNNNNNNNNNNNNNNNNNNNNNNNNNNNNNNNNNNNNNNNNNNNNNNNNNNNNNNUGAAAAUUCGAAAAUAAUUAAAUAAAUAUACUGAAAAUUACGAAAAUAAAUAAAUUGGAAAUAAAAUUUUCAGGACAUAAAUAAACUGGAAAUUUAAAAUAUCCUACUCCAUUUAAUUAACAUCAAAAUUGGAUUAAGUAGACAAGUAAUGGUAGAGUGUGGUGAGUCCAAUUGGUAAAGUGUAGUAAUUUAAAAAGUAAGGGAGGGUAUAUAUGUCCAAAAAGCAGAGUAGGUAGUUAAUUGGUGGACAAAAUUUUAGAGACAAUGGGGUAGUUGAUUGGUGGACGGAGGGAGUAUAAAAUAUGUGUACAAAUAACUGAUGCAUUUUGUUUCUUUUCUUUUUUCGAGUUCAUUAGUUCAAUCCGUGGAACAAUUGGUACAAUGAUAUUUUCUUAAAUCAGAUUCAGUCUCCUGCAGCAAAACGAGCGAGCUAUAAAUCGAUUGAAAUUCAUUGUGAUAUUUCUUUAAAAUGUAUCCUUUAUUCUAAUAAUAUAUAAGAUCACGUCAGUCCAAAAUUUGAAACUUGAAAUUUCAAAAUCGAUGCAUUCAAAAAUUUGACUAGCUAGUAACUAAAAUUCUUGAAAGAAAAUUCUUCAAUCAAUUAGAUAACGGUCUAUCUUCAUCUUCUAAGUUAGCCAUCUAGAAUAUAAUAUAUCGAAUACAAUAUAUACAAAAAGUCGUAGGAAAAUUUGAUAAAUGCCAGCCCAAAAUGACAAAUUUGACCCCCCAUCUUCACUAUAAAUAGGGUAAUUGGUUCUCAUAUUGAACACUCAACUCAAUUAGCUCUUAGUACUUUUCAAUAAUUUAAUUAUUUUCAUCGAAAGAGAAAAAAGAAAUAAAAAUCAUGGGUGUGAUUGUUGAUGAGCAAGUACUCACAUGCUCAAUUCCACCUGCUAGGUUUUUCAAAGCAUUCUUUGUUGAUUCCAACAACCUAUUCCCCAAGAUUUUGCCUACGGUGUUCAAGAGCAUCGAAUACACAGAGGGCAAUGGUGGACCUGGAUCUAUCAAGCUGCUUUCUUUCCAAGA
rnacentral:lncRNA from 1 species